rnacentral:rRNA from 1 species
GUGAAAGUUUGCAGCUCAACUGUAAAAUUGCCUUUGAAACUGGUAGUCUUGAAUUAUUAUGAAGUGGUUAGAAUAAGUAGUGUAGCGGUGAAAUGCAUAGAUAUUACUUAGAAUACCAAUUGCGAAGGCAGAUCACUAAUAAUAUAUUGACGCUGAGGGACGAAAGCGUGGGGAGCGAACAGGAUUAGAUACCCUGGUAGUCCACGCCGUAAACGAUGGAUACUAGCUGUUCGGAUUUAUCUGAGUGGCUAAGCGAAAGUGAUAAGUAUCCCACCUGGGGAGUACGUUCGCAAGAAUGAAACUCAAAGGAAUUGACGGGGGCCCGCACAAGCGGUGGAGCAUGUGGUUUAAUUCGAUGA